rnacentral:tRNA from 1 species
AAGGGAGACCUAAUUCAGGUAGGAGACGAAAAAAAAGUAGUCCCAACCAAGAAUCAAUCCCAAAAGGUCGGAGCGAGGCGAAAUUGGCUUUCAAACUAGGUUCUGGGUUCACACAAGACCUGAAUCAGGAACAAGGGCUAUUAGCUCAGGUGGUUAGAGCGCACCCCUGAUAAGGGUGAGGUCCCUGGUUCGAGUCCAGGAUGGCCCACCUGCACAGGUGGCAAAAACAAGAGAAGCUCCGAAUCAGCACCUUAUCUUACUUAUAUAGUAAGAGAGAAUGCUGGCUCUGAGUAAAGAGUCCAGAGGAACCUUGAAAACUGCAUAGAGCUAGGUGAAAAAGCCAAAAAAGAAGACCGCAA